GAUGAACGCUGGCGGCGUGCCUAAUACAUGCAAGUCGAGCGAACGGACGAGAAGCUUGCUUUUCUGAUGUUAGCGGCGGAAGGGUGAGUAACACGUGGAUAACCUACCUAUAAGACUGGGAUAAAUUCGGGAAACCGGAGCUAAUACCGGAUAAUAUUUUGAACCGCAUGGUUCAAAAGUGAAAGACGGUCUUGCUGUCACUUAUAGAUGGAUCCGCGCUGCAUUAGCUAGUUGGUAAGGUAACGGCUUACCAAGGCAACGAUGCAUAGCCGACCUGAGAGGGUGAUCGGCCACACUGGAACUGAGACACGGUCCAGACUCCUACGGGAGGCAGCAGUAGGGAAUCUUCCGCAAUGGGCGAAAGCCUGACGGAGCAACGCCGCGUGAGUGAUGAAGGUCUUCGGAUCGUAAAACUCUGUUAUUAGGGAAGAACAUAUGUGUAAGUAACUGUGCACAUCUUGACGGUACCUAAUCAGAAAGCCACGGCUAACUACGUG
rnacentral:rRNA from 1 species